GACGAACGCUGGCGGCGUGCUUAACACAUGCAAGUCGAGCGGAAAGGCCCUUCGUGGUACUCGAGCGGCGAACGGGUGAGUCACACGUGAGUAACCUGCCCCAGACUUUUGGUUAACCCUCGGAAACGGGGGCUAAUACCGGAUCCGACACUGCUUCGCAUGUGGUCUGUGUGGAAAGUUUUUCGGUUUUGGAUGGGCUCGCGGCCUAUCAGCUGGUUGGUGUGGUUAUGGCCUACCAAGGGGACGACGGGUAGCCGGCCUGGGCGGGCUACCGGCCACACUGGGACUGAGAAACGGCGCAGAGUAGUACGGGAGGAAGCAGUGGAGAAUAUUGAACAAUGGGGGGGAGACUGAGGGAGCGGCGCCGCGUGAGGGAUGACGGCAUUCGGGUUGUAAACCGCUUUAAGCAGAGACGAAGCGUAAGUGACGGUACCUGCAGAAGAAGCGCCGGCUAACUACGUG
rnacentral:rRNA from 1 species